rnacentral:rRNA from 1 species
AUCCUCGCCGCGGGGCUCNGNAGGCNCCUGNAACGAAAUAUCACACGACUCUCGGCAACGGAUAUCUUGGCUCUCGCAUCGAUGAAGAACGUAGCAAACUGCGAUACUUGGUGUGAAUUGCAGAAUCCCGUGAACCGGGCACGUCUGCCUGGGCGUCACGCAUCGCGU